rnacentral:rRNA from 1 species
UACGUAGGGGGCAAGCGUUGGUCCGGAUUUAUUGGGCGUAAAGAGCGUGUAGGCGGCCAGACAGGUCCGUUGUGAAAACUCGAGGCUCAACCGUCGAGACGUCGACGGAAACCGUCUGGACUAGAGUCCGGAAGAGGAGUGUGGAAUUCCGUGGUUCGUAGCGGUGAAAUGCGCAGAUAUCAGGAAGAACACCUAUGGGCGAAGGCAGCCACUACUGGGACGGUGACUGAGCUGAGACGCAAAGCGUGGGGAGCGA